CUCGUAGGCGGCCAACUAAGUCAGACGUGAAAUCCCUCGGCUUAACCGGGGAACUGCCUCUGAUACUGGAUGGCUUGGGGUUGGGAGAGGGAUGCGGAAUUCCAGGUGUAGCGGUGAAAUGCGUAGAUAUCUGGAGGAACACCGGUGGCGAAGGCGGCAUCCUGGACCAAAUCUGACGCUGAGGAGCGAAAGCCAGGGGAGCAAACGGGAUUAGAUACCCCGGUAGUCCUGGCCCUAAACGAUGAAUGCUUGGUGUGGCGGGUAUCGAUCCCUGCCGUGCCGAAGCUAACGCAUUAAGCAUUCCGCCUGGGGAGUACGGUCGCAAGGCUGAA
rnacentral:rRNA from 1 species